GGGGGAAUAUUGGGCAAUGGGCGAAAGCCUGACCCAGCAACGCCGCGUGAAGGAAGAAGGCCUUCGGGUUGUAAACUUCUUUUAAGAGGGACGAAGAAGUGACGGUACCUCUUGAAUAAGCCACGGCUAACUACGUGCCAGCAGCCGCGGUAAUACGUAGGUGGCGAGCGUUAUCCGGAUUUACUGGGUGUAAAGGGCGCGUAGGCGGGAAUGCAAGUCAGAUGUGAAAUCCAAGGGCUCAACCCUUGAACUGCAUUUGAAACUGUUGAUCUUGAGUAUCGGAGAGGCAAUCGGAAUUCCUAGUGUAGCGGUGAAAUGCGUAGAUAUUAGGAGGAACACCAGUGGCGAAGGCGGAUUGCUGGACGACAACUGACGGUGAGGCGCGAAAGCGUGGGGAGCAAACAGGAUUAGAUACCCUGGUAGU
rnacentral:rRNA from 1 species